AUUGAACGCUGGCGGCAGGCUUAACACAUGCAAGUCGAGCGAACGGCGGACGGGCGAGUAAUUUCUGGGAAACUGCCUGAUGGAGGGGGAUAACUACUGGAAACGGUAGCUAAUACCGCAUACUGUCAGAUGUGCCCCGAUGGGAUUAGCUAGUAGGUGGGGUAAUGGCUCACCUAGGCGACGAUCCCUAGCUGUUCUGAGAGGAGGACCAGCCAUACUGGAACUGAGACACGGUCCAGACUCCUACGGGAGGCAGCAGUGGUGAAUAUUGGACAAUGGGCGAAAGCCUGAUGCAGCCAUGCCGCGUGAGUGAAGAAGGCCUUCGGGUUGUAAAGCACUGUCAGCGAGGAGGCGUUACUCGAAGAAGAAGCACCGGCUAACUCCGUGCCAGCAGCCGCGGUAAUAC
rnacentral:rRNA from 1 species